rnacentral:rRNA from 1 species
UGGGGAAUAUUGGACAAUGGGCGAAAGCCUGAUCCAGCAAUGCCGCGUGUGUGAAGAAGGUCUUCGGAUUGUAAAGCACUUUCGACGGGGACGAUGAUGACGGUACCCGUAGAAGAAGCCCCGGCUAACUUCGUGCCAGCAGCCGCGGUAAUACGAAGGGGGCUAGCGUUGCUCGGAAUGACUGGGCGUAAAGGGCGCGUAGGCGGUUUGUACAGUCAGACGUGAAAUUCCUGGGCUUAACCUGGGGGCUGCGUUUGAGACGUGCAGACUUGAGUGAGGAAGAGGGUUGUGGAAUUCCCAGUGUAGAGGUGAAAUUCGUAGAUAUUGGGAAGAACACCGGUGGCGAAGGCGGCAACCUGGUCCUUUACUGACGCUGAGGCGCGAAAGCGUGGGGAGCAAACAGG